UCAGAGCUGUGUUUUUGUUGUGUGACGUGAGAUUCGUUAUAACAGAGAUGGAAGUUAUGUGAUGGAGUGAUCAAAAUGAGGGCUAAGAGCUGAAAUCUCUACCGACAAUGUGCAGUGCUACAUAUCAAUGAGGUUGAGAAAAGAACACGACAGGUGCUUCUGGACGUAUUUGCACAUUGGAAUGCCCAGGUAAUCCCAGAUCCUCAGCCCUCCUGUGAGAGACAUCUUGACCUGAUCUGACUAUGCCCUGACACAUCUAUUCUGCUGAAACAGUGAAAAUUCCUUUUGUUUUUUUACGGUUCAUCAUAAAAACCUUUUAAUGUUUUGCUCACCUGAUUGGUGGAGCACAUUUCGUGUUGAAAAAUGUGACUAUAGAAGCCUUUUAUUAGGCUUUAUGAGGCUAUUAAUACACAGGGUUAUGUCUGGUCUUUCUCUUAUACAUCCAUGGUCUGGCCUGGCAGUGUUUACAUGGGCAGUGUUUAUUUUUUUGUGCAUAGUUUCGGAGGGUUCUAUUUAUGUUGUUAACAUGUGUUAAAUGUUCUACCAUUAUACAUAUAGCCUAUUACUGCCAUCUAAUAUUAAUAAAGCCUGCUUGACCAAA